GUAUCAGAGCACCAGGGAUUAGAUCUUGGUGUCUCUACGCUUCAUCUCAACUUCUCACAAGCUCCAUCACUCAUCUCUUUUUCCUUUGAAAAAAAAAAGAGAGAGAGAGAGAAGAACCAGCGACCAAGACAGAUCCUAUUAACACUGUCCUGACCAAAACCCAGACUUGCGUUUUAAUUGAAGAAGCAGGCUUUCCAAGUUGUCUCCUUCCUGUCGGCUAGCACAAAAGCAGGGGAACAAGUUCGAGAUCCUAAUGAAGAAGAAGAAGAGUUAAAGGUGGCAGCUUUAAUCAAAUGACAGCUCCAAAACUGCAAAGCUUGUGGAGUUGGUGCUAUAAAUGACGGACAACCAAGAGUUUUGUGAAGAACAAUGGUUGAAAAUACCUCUGAGAGACUAUACUAAACUCUCCAAGUUCAAGAGAAACCUCUGAGUGAGUCAUGAUAGAUCUCCAAGUAUAGACCAAGAGUUCUCAUCUGGUUCUGAAGUCUAUUGUUUUACUCUCACUACAGCUACCUUAGGAGGUGUUUACAUCUGCUCACAUCCCUGUCCAGCCAUCCAAACUCAUUCUCAUGAUCAUUCAAACUUGCCAGCUUCGUUUUCACCCGCUGCCAAGUUUGCGGGGGAGUAUUAGAGCCCAAAGAAGAAGCUCAAUGCAAUCUUCAGAAACCCAAAGAAAUGACAACAAGUUCCAAGUGUUUAGGGUUCUAGAGUUUCAUAUAAAUAUGACUGUUAUGAGAAUGUGUUUUGUAACCUUGCUGCUCAUAGAAGCAGCCUCCAUCAAAUAGUUUAUGAAAUCAAACGUUUCUUUUAAUUCUU